rnacentral:rRNA from 1 species
AGUGAACGCUGGCGGCGUGCCUAAUACAUGCAAGUCGAACGAUGAAGUCCUAGCUUGCUAGGAUGGAUUAGUGGCGCACGGGUGAGUAAUAUAUAGUUAAUCUGCCCUACACAGAGGAACAACAGUUGGAAACGGCUGCUAAUACCUCAUACUCCUAUUUGACAUAAGUUAAAUAGGGAAAGUCUUUUCGGUGUAGGAUGAGACUAUAUCGUAUCAGCUAGUUGGUAAGGUAAUGGCUUACCAAGGCUAUGACGCGUAACUGGUCUGAGAGGAUGAUCAGUCACAUUGGAACUGAGACACGGUCCAAACUCCUACGGGAGGCAGCAGUAAGGAAUAUUGCGCAAUGGGGGAAACCCUGACGCAGCAACGCCGCGUGGAGGAUGACACUUUUCGGAGCGUAAACUCCUUUUAUCAGGAAAGAAUAAUGACGGUACCUGAUGAAUAAGCACCGGCUAACUCCGUGCCAGCAGCCGCGGUAAUACGGGGGGUGCAAGCGUUACUCGGAAUCACUGGGCGUAAAGGACGCGUAGGCGGAUUAUCAAGUCUUUUGUGAAAUCUAGUGGCUUAACCACUAAACUGCUUAGGAAACUGAUAGUCUAGAGUAGGGGAGAGGUAGAUGGAAUUCUUGGUGUAGGGGUAAAAUCCAUAGAGAUCAAGAAGAAUACCCAUUGCGAAAGCGAUCUGCUGGAACCUAACUGACGCUGAGGCGUGAAAGCGUGGGUAGCAAACAGG